rnacentral:rRNA from 1 species
AGAGUUUGAUCAUGGCUCAGAACGAACGCUGGCGGCGCGCCUAAUACAUGCAAGUCGAGCGAGAAGACGUAGCAAUACGUUUGUAAAGCGGCGAACGGGUGAGGAAUGCAUGGGUAACCUACCCUCGAGUGGGGAAUAACUAGCCGAAAGGUUAGCUAAUACCGCAUACGAUUCCCGGACUGCGGUUCGGGAGGGAAAGCGAUACCGUGGGUAUCGCGCUCUUGGAUGGGCUCAUGUCCUAUCAGCUUGUUGGUGAGGUAAUGGCUCACCAAGGCUUCGACGGGUAGCUGGUCUGAGAGGACGAUCAGCCACACUGGCACUGCGGCACGGGCCAGACUCCUACGGGAGGCAGCAGUAAGGAAUAUUGCGCAAUGGACGAAAGUCUGACGCAGCGACGCCGCGUGGGGGAUGAAGGUCUUCGGAUUGUAAACCCCUUUCGGCAGGGAAGAUGGAACGGGUAACCGUUCGGACGGUACCUGCAGAAGCAGCCACGGCUAACUUCGUGCCAGCAGCCGCGGUAAUACGAAGGUGGCAAGCGUUGUUCGGAUUCACUGGGCGUACAGGGAGCGUAGGCGGUUGGGUAAGCCCUCCGUGAAAUCUCCGGGCCUAACCCGGAAAGUGCAGAGGGGACUGCUCGGCUAGAGGAUGGGAGAGGAGCGCGGAAUUCCCGGUGUAGCGGUGAAAUGCGUAGAGAUCGGGAGGAAGGCCGGUGGCGAAGGCGGCGCUCUGGAACAUUUCUGACGCUGAGGCUCGAAAGCGUGGGGAGCAAACAGGAUUAGAUACCCUGGUAGUCCACGCCUUAAACUAUGGAUACUAAGUGUCGGCGGUUUACCGCCGGUGCCGCAGCUAACGCAGUAAGUAUCCCGCCUGGGAAGUACGGCCGCAAGGGUUGAAACUCAAAGGAAUUGACGG